rnacentral:rRNA from 1 species
GGGCCCGCACAAGCGGUGGAGCAUGUGGUUUAAUUCGAAGCAACGCGAAGAACCUUACCAAGGCUUGACAUACACACGAAGCCGUUAGAGAUAACGUCGCCCUUCGGGGCGUGUGAACAGGUGGUGCAUGGUUGUCGUCAGCUCGUGUCGUGAGAUGUUAGGUUAAGUCCUGCAACGAGCGCAACCCUUAUCUUUAGUAGCGAACGCGUAGAGGCGCGCACUCUAGAGAGACUGCCGUGACAAACACGGAGGAAGGUGGGGAUGACGUCAAAUCAUCAUGCCCCUUAUGUCUUGGGCAACACACGUGCUACAAUGGCUGCGAACAAAGCGAGGCGAAACCGCGAGGUGGAGCAAAGCGCAAAAAAGCAGUCUCAGUUCGGAUUGUAGUCUGCAACUCGACUACAUGAAGUCGGAAUCGCUAGUAAUCGCGAAUCAGCAUGUCG